rnacentral:rRNA from 1 species
AAUGAACGUUGGCGGCGUGGAUUAGGCAUGCAAGUCGAGCGAGAACCCGCAAGGGGGACAGCGGCAAACGGGGUAGUAAUGUGUCGGAACGUGCCCUCUGGACGGGGAUAGCGGCGGGAAACUGCCGGUAAUACCCGAUGAACUCGAGAGAGCAAAGGUGUGAUUCCGCCGGAGGAGCGGCCGACAUGGUAUUAGCUAGUUGGCGGGGUAACGGCCCACCAAGGCUUUGAUGCCUAGGGGAUGUGAGAGCAUGAUCCCCACCAUUGGGACUGAGACACUGCCCAGACACCUACGGGUGGCUGCAGUCGAGAAUCUUCGUCAAUGGGCGAAAGCCUGAACGAGCGACGCCGCGUGUGGGAUGAAGGCCUUUGGGUUGUAAACCACUGUCGAGGGGGAUGAAGGUCUUCAGGUCCUCCUGAAGAUUUGACAGAGCCCUGGAGGAAGCACGGGCUAAGUUCGUGCCAGCCGCCGCAGUAAUAC